GCUUAACGCGAAGAACCUUACCCAGGCUUGACAUCCCUGGAAGGUCUCCGAAAGGAGACUGUGCCUUCGGGAAUCAGGUGACAGGUGCUGCAUGGCCGUCGUCAGCUCGUGUCGUGAGAUGUUUGGUUAAGUCCAUUAACGAGCGCAACCCUUGUAAGUAGUUGAAUUUUUCUACUUAGACCGCCUCGGUAACGGGGAGGAAGGAGGGGAUGAUGUCAGGUCAGUAUUGCCCUUACGCCUGGGGCUACAAACACGCUACAAUGGCCGGUACAAAGGGCAGCCAACCCGCGAGGGGGAGCAAAUCCCAUCAAAACCGGUCCCAGUUCGGAUAGCAGGCUGAAAUUCGCCUGCUUGAAGUCGGAAUCGCUAGUAACGGUGAGUCAGCUAUAUCACCGUGAAUACGUUCCC
rnacentral:rRNA from 1 species